GGCUGAUAUGAUUGCACAGUGUUUGGCAAUCCAGAAGACAAGGACUAUGAAGAAGUAUGAAAGACAACUGUUUUUGCACCGCAACCUCUGCCAGCAAGCUCACAGGAUUUCUUCGAGGAUUACAGAUUGAAUUCACAGAAUCACUGAAACAGACCUGGGGAGAAGCUGAAAAGUCCUGGAUCAGUCCUAUUCUUGCUUGUCCACAAUGAAUGCAAAAGAACAAUUUCCCUCAAGAAGCUGACAGGUCCAGCAUCUGGUCAAGCUGCUAGGCAUCUCCAAGGUCAAGUUGUCCCUCACAUAUUAUUAAAUGUCAGUAGCUUCUGCCUUUGAUAUGUUAACUAAACCCCCCUACCUCUCUUCUGGAGAUCACUUUUCCAUGUAGUAAUUUAUGGGCCUUUAAGAUUUAGACAUGUGAAAAAAAAAGGCAGGAAUAUCAGAAAUAGUAAGAACUGCCAAUGCUGGAGUCAGAGAUAACACAGUGUGGAGCUGGAGGAGCACAGCAGACCAGGCAGCAUCAGAGGAGCAAGAAAGUUGAUGUUUCGGGU